GAAAGAUCGGACGCCGGGGGACUCCGAGACUUCGAACGAGUCCUCGUCCGAAGCGUUGAGGAGCAGUUCGAGGUCCAUGAUCACCAAACGGGAUCAGCAAACCUGGUAGUUACUAAGGUAACGGCCGAAAAAACUCCUCAAAUACCGACACACACACACACACACACACACACACACACACACACACGAUAGACGGUAAAUUAACAGUGUUAUGAGUCGGAGAUUAAUUCGGCGUGUAUCUGAUCCACCAACCAGCACUUAUUUAAGUGAGAAAUCGUAACUUUUGAAACGGUUCGCCUCUCAUUCCUACCGUCAUCUCCCACGAAAAAGGCUGGUAGCAAGUUGAGACGACAAAAUUCAAAAUGUUAAGUCUGUACUGAAAUACAUUUGGUCUGUAUGGAUUAUAUUGAUGCCGGAUUGGCAAGAAGACUAUCGACAUAUGACGUCUUCUAUCUUGUGUUUCUAGAGUUAUGUGUUUUUGUGGACAUGUAAGGAAUUGUUAAUAUGUCAUUUCUUAAAGGGAGUUUGGCGUAAUAUUACCCCGGAAAGCGCAGGGAGCUUCCGUUUAAUUCAAGCUGCUAAUAUGUGUAUUUUUAAACGCUUUGCCACCACUACAGAAACACCAGGUAACUCCUACAUUAUGAUACGGUUGGCUGACGUCGACUGCUGUAAGUUAUUGGUUUGAUUAAUGGGUUACAGUCUAAUAAUGUGCGUUUGUAUUGAUUACUGACGGUGGCUGAUUGUUCUCACUUUAUAACUGCCUGUUUUAAAACCACCUCCCUAAUUAAACACGAUGUGCUUGAUGGUGAUAAUGGUGACCCCUGAUGAAACUUGAAAGCUCACCAUUCUCGUUUCGUCUCGCUUCCCUUUUUACAAGUCACAUACCAUCUCUCUGUCUGUCACUUGCCGUGUGUGUGCAGUGCAUUUACUGUUUUUUUCACACAUAAUUUCAGGCCAGUUGGAGGAGUUAAACCUGUGAUUUUCUGCCUCUGUAUUAUUAUCCAGGCUGCUGCUGUUUCUGCUAUAUUUCUUGCAGUUUGCAGGGUGUCCAAACAGAAAUACUCCAACAUCCAGCAGCUGAAUGCUGUGUCCAGAUAGUUACUGGUUGAAGUUGGUUUCUGUGGGCAGCUUAAUAAACUGUGUAGCUGUUUUAAAGUUUUAAAGUUGUAAAAAUACCUUGUUUUCCUGUGCUUCCUGGAAAACCUGUACAUUUAAGGUUAUUUUCAACUACAGGAUGACACCCUCUUGUUUCAGCUGUCAGAUUUCUACACUGGGUCUGUAAUGUUAUAAGCAGGCUUUACAAACAGCAUUUUUUUUUAUAGCACAGGCAUGUAUUUUAGGCAAACUGCUUUUUUCAGUGCAAGCACAACUCAUUUGCAUUUUAUAAGGCUCCCUUUUAUUACUGGGCUCUUGUUUAGUGUAUUUAAUAUUGUGUGAUUGCAGGUUUCCACUGUGGUGCCAUGGUGCCAUGACGUUUUAAUGCUGUACCCUACAACAAUCAUGGCCGUAUAGUUUACUAAGAAACAUUAAUAAUCCAUUACUUACAGUUCAAAACUUGGAGCUUACAGCUUGUCCUUUACAGUAAGUUACUCAACGGACAGUAAAAAGAAUCCACUUGUUUAUCCACUGUAAAUAUUGUACUUCAGAGAUCAAGGUUUUACAUACAAAAGAUAUUUUCAGUUUACAGAGUACGAUGCAAUUUUAAAAGAUUAAAUUACCUAACAGUAUAUAAAGUAGUUAAAUAUAGCUUUUCUUCACAGCCACAACAUAAAAUGUUACAUAAUGCAUUUGUAACAAUAAUCUAGUAAUAUAAUGUGACACUAACAGGGGUCAUUCUGCUGCCAGUUGACUAAUUUUACUUUAGAUAUUUUAAGUAUAUUUUGCUGCUAUACUUCUGUACUUUAACCUAGGUAAGAUUUUGAACACCAGACUUAACUUGUAGUGGAGUAAUUGUACCUAAAGGUAUUGCUACUUCUACUUCAGUAAAAGGCCUUAAUACUUACUCCAUCGUGGAAAAUAAAACCCACUUGAUAACAUUUAAUCAAAAUAAGAUAAAAUAAAGUGAAAAUACUAUACAUAGAAUGUGUACUUCAGUAAUGGUAAUUUGAGACUUAAUAAGCGAAAACUCAGAAAGUAUUUCACCAUGUGUACACAAUAUGUAAAUCGGCACCUAGGUCUCUGAAGCCAUAAGCAAACAGAACCUCCCUUUUCCCAACAGACACAGACUCAUCACCAGUCUUGAUUAAUCGAAAUAAAUGCCUGACUCUCCCUUGAUCUAACAGUGUAUUGGCUCAGAUGUGUGACCAUAAACAUUAUGUUAAUUAUAAUGAGUUAUAUCUUGAUUUAAAUCCAUUUUGUACAAUGAAGGUUUAUUUCUAAUAGAAUAAAUGUGACGGCUCCUAUAUGUAUUUAUAAUAUCAAUAUAUCACAGUAAGUGGUAUCAAACUGAUUUUAGAUCACUACAUAAAGUGAUGAAAACGCCAUGGUCAGGUGUUGCAGGUCUUAGUAUCUGCUCUAUCUAUAGUUUAAUUUUAUGGAUUUACAUAAUAUUUCUAUUACAAGUUACAAGUAACUGUGUUAUAAUAUUAUUAUAGUUGUCUUUUUUUCCCCAGAUCAUUUUCUUGGUGUGUUCUGUUGUGUGCCAUCGGUUAAAGAGUAAGUAUUACUCAAUAUUAGUCUGUUUAUAUUUAUUAAGUGAUGAAACACAUCCUCUUACAAUGAAAGAUAGCCACACAUUACCUCUCCCCUGCUGGGUCUUUGCGGUUUUGAGUGUGCAAAGUUUGGCUUUAUGCUUCCUGUUUUUUUGCUUCAAUUCUUGUAGAGAACAUUGCACAAUUUGAAGGUUUGAGUUCAGUUACCAAACAGAGGCGUGUCCAGAAUGUUCUUUGUGAGUUCGAAACUCCACAAAAAUGCGACCCUGACCCCAAUGUGGCCAUUCCCAAUUAAUCUCGUGGGGCAAAUUAUGAAGAAACGCAUGAUGAAGAAAUGACUUGUGAUACCAUCUCAGUAACUGAAGGCAACAAAUGCAAUGACAUUGAUGACAAUGGCAAUGACAGAUUUGGUGAAUGUCUCAGCAGCUUUAGGGAGGAGGAAGAUUUUUUCUGUGACGCUCAUGACAGUUGCAACUUUGAUAACGUGCCUGAUAAACUGUGCCAGUGGGUGUAACAGUCUGGAGUGACACAAAAUGCAGUUGAUAGCCUACUUAAAAUUUUAAAUAAACACAUCCCCAUACUUCAAAAAUGCUCAAGAACUUUAAUGAAAACAUCACAUUCACAUGAAGUUAAAACAACUGACAGUGGGGAGUAUGUCCACUUUGGCAUAUUGGAACAUGUGCUCCAAAACAAAGAAGGACUACUGUCACAAACUGACACAGUCAUGUUACAGGUGAACAUAGAUGGACUGCCUAUAUUUAAAAGUUCUCCAAAGCAAUUUUGAGUAAAUUCCCUUUUGAAAAGGAUCCAUUUGUGAUAGGUAUUUUCUGUGGAAACAGCAGCAAACGACACAAUCCCAAUCAAUACCUGCAUGACUUUGGCUUCUGAUGAGGUUUUUCCUGUGGGGUUGAGGAGAUGGUGUACAAUGUUCACUGUCUGUGUUAUCUGGCAGAUGUGAGAAGGUUUGGUCCAUUAGAUUGUGUGUCUACAUUUCCUUUUGAAAACUUCCUAGGCCGCUUUAAGAGAAAGGUUAGUAAGUCACAACACAUUCUCCAGCAGAUACCAAAUGUUGUAGAGAGGUAGUCCACACAGAAGAAAUCAUCUUACCGCCCAGCUAAACUUGGUGGAAAAAACUCAAAUGGACCAACAGUGCCAAAUGUUGCUUAAGCCACACAAUACAAGAGGACCACACUUGAAAAUGCUGUAAUAAAAUGUAGUACAGGAGACAACUGUGUGAUGAUUGGUGGACAGUUUGGCUUGGUUAAGAACAUCUUGUAUGACACCACCACAGAGGAAACUUUCAUUCUGUUGAGACGAUUUUUAGGUCUGGUCCCACUGUACACAGAACCAAUUAACUCACAAGACGCUGGCAUCCACACAGCUUGUGAGCUUGAUGCAGAGGUCAAAGUGUACAAGCUUUCUGAUAUCGAGACAAAAUGUGUUCUGCUGCCACUUGGAUUGGAUGGGCAACAACUCCUUUGCUUUAUUUGUAUUAGAAUGUAUUAUAUGUGUCUGUGUGCCUGCCUGUUUUUGAUCCCUUCUUCAGGAAGUUGCAGUACAAUCAUCUGCCAACCAAGACGACUUCAUUUAACCUAUUGUACACAAAAAGUUCAGUUUACUCAUUAGGAGGAGUACCACUCAGCCUGUAAAACAGUUGUUCAGUAUCAUCUGUGGCUCUGGAGGAAGGAAGCUUUCCAAAGUUUGAAAAAACAACCCUGAUUAUAUCAUCUCAGUUUGGGCUUGAGAAAAGAUUUUUAACAAUCUGUGUUACAAACUGGAGAAGUGGGGUUUUUAAGAGGUGACAAUUUAGGAGGCAAGGGGUUUCUGUUUAAAUAUGCCAUCCAGUUGCAUUAUGGGGAAUGUAGGAUCCAGCAUUUUUGGAGCUUGAUCCAAAGUCAGGAUAUCUUGGCCUCUGUUGCGCCGAUUUUAACCAUUCUUUUUAGUCUGUCUCUUUUAAUAUGUCUCUUUUGAGUCCCCCAACAAUGUGGAAGUGCAAUUCUAAAUUGCUGGAGUACAAUUAUUCCAAUCAACCCUAUGAUUGACACUAGAUUAGAGCCUUUAAAAGCCCAUAUGCUGCCUCGCCCAAUUUUUCCCAGCCUGCAUGAGUAUUGUCUCCUCACAACAGUCUUAUGCACUUUUCCCUCCUUUUACUUUCAAUAAUAAAUAUGGAGUAUUUACUUUUGAGCCCUCCUUAAUGAUUGUUUUGGUUAUUCCCCUAGGAAGAGUUUGUUUGGUUCUCUCAGUGGUGUGUUUAAGUAGCAUUUUGCUUCUUUUGUUUUUUUCAACAGUAGCUAUUUACAGUAAAUUGUUAUUUUAGGGGUUAGGAGUAAAUCCUGGUAAGGGUAAGGUAGGCGCCAAGUGAAUCCUGGUUGGAGAUUACAGUCUUUGUUGGGGGUACACUGUUCAGUGCCUUUGGCCCAGUCUCAGGCUGAUGGUGCUGUGCUGUGUUUAAAAUUGCCUCGAGCCUGGCACGCCUCAAAGAAGACAGUCAAGAUUAAGGCAGUAUCCUGUGAGGAACUGGGGUUUGCUCAUCACCCAUAGCCUGCUAUCAAAUCUCCUAGGUGGUAGUUAACUGCUUUGUAUUAUUGUAAGGGGUAAAGGGAGACAGUAGCUGGCUUAAGCUGUCAUGAUGAGUGUCAGCAACUUGGCAGGUGGUCAGGGUACAGCCGUUUUGUUAAUAAGCACUAAAGCUUAUGCUUUUGUUAGUUGUGUGUCUGAUCUUUGUUUGAAUCACAACCAAAUGCCAUGUAAUUCAAUUUUCAAUUAAACUGUACAUUAGACCUCACCUGAUUAUGUGCAAAUAAAUAAAUAAAAAGAUAAAAUUAUUAAAUAGACUGAGAAACAGAAAUGACUACACAGAUUCUAUAUAAAUGCGUAAUAAAUAUUUAAAUUAAUUCAUUUUACAUUAUUUUGUUUUAAAAACAUGUAGCCUACACUUCACUCAGCUAAAUCCUGACUGAUCUCCCCUAUUUCUGACUUAACAAACCAUCUACUCACAUAAAUCUCGAUGACUCAACUCAUCUAUCCACACAAGAUGCCAAACUAUGCUGGUUUAAAACUCAAAUGACCUCACCUUUCUUCCAUGUUGUGGAUUUCAUGGGACGGGGAGAGGUGGAAGUGGUCAGCACUAUGUGGAUGGCUGGAGAGGAUGCCUGCUCUUAACAUCAGUAUAAAUUCCCCAAUGAUAUAAAGUGAGCUCAGCUGUAGCAUGAGAACCCAGGAGCUGACUGGGAAACAUGCAAUGUGCACUCACGCUACAAAACACGUAUGGACAUGCUCCCAUCUGAUUGGUGACGACAACAGGUGCAUGAAGUUGUGUCAGGGUGCUGAGGUGGAGCACUAUGGGAUUAACCUGUAGCUCGAUAGAGGCCUGCACAAAACAGUGGAUUAUGAGAACACCAGAUGAAAGCCAAAAAGGCUAGACAACUUCUCAUCUCAAUUAUGAAAGUGACAGCAUGCUGGGAAGUAUAAUCACACAGAUCAAUGAAUCUCAUGAGUACAGAGAACAAAUCAGAUGGUCUGCGAUGGAAGUUGCCUGAUAUCAAACAUUGAGGCAAAAUGGCCAGGUUCUGUCCAUGAUUCCAGGAUCUUUCGUACAUCAUCACUGUCCCAGAGGUUUGCACAAG